UUGUAUUUUGCUUUUGUUUGUUAUUGCUAAAUAAAACUUAGAGUUUCAUAUAGAUAAUACUUGGACAAUGCUACAUAUAUAUGCCUAAUGGAAUGUGUCCUGCAUUUAGAAAGUGACUUCAUAUAAACAUACUUGAGCUGUGAUUUGAAAAAAUAUGGAUUCAAUACAUGUGCGUAUAGGAUUGUCCCAGAUGAGUCUAUGAAGUCUACAAGCGCUAAUAAGGGACGACAGUUUCUCUUGCUUUUAUUAUGUAUUCAAUACAUGUGCAUAUAGGAUUGUUCCAGAUGAGUCUAUGAAGUCUAUGAGCGCUAAUAAGGGACGACAGUUUCUCUUGCUUUUAUUAUGUAUUCAAUACAUGUGCGUAUAGGAUUGUCCCAGAUGAGUCUAUGAAGUCUACAAGCGCUAAUAAGGGACGACAGUUUCUCUUGCUUUUAUUAUGUAUUCAAUACAUGUGCGUAUAGGAUUGUCCCAGAUGAGUCUAUGAAGUCUACAAGCGCUAAUAAGGGAAGACAGUUUCUCUUGCUUUUAUUAUGUAUUCAAUACAUGUGCAUAUAGGAUUGUCCCAGAUGAGUCUAUGAAGUCUACAAGUGCUAAUAAGGGACGACAGUUUCUCUUGCUUUUAUUAUGUAUUCAAUACAUGUGCGUAUAGGAUUGUCCCAGAUGAGUCUAUGAACGCUAAUAAGGGACGACAGUUUCUCUUGCUUUUAUUAUGUAUUCAAUACAUGUGCAUAUAGGAUUGUCCCAGAUGAGUCUAUGAACGCUAAUAAGGGACGACAGUUUCUCUUGCUUUUAUUAUGUAUUCAAUACAUGUGCAUAUAGGAUUGUCCCAGAUGAGUCUAUGAAGUCUACAAGCGCUAAUAAGGGACGACAGUUUCUCUUGCUUUUAUUAAAUUUAAGUCUUCAGAAGUAAAUUAGGGGCCAAUCGUUAUAGGUCAAUAUUUAUGCAUCUAAGACUUGAGAAUAAGCAGCAACAGUUUAUGUUCUUUGAUCAAUUACUUAUGAUU